GACGAACGCUGGCGGCGUGCUUAACACAUGCAAGUCGAGCGGAAAGGCUCCUUCGGGGGUACUCGAGCGGCGAACGGGUGAGUAACACGUGAGUAAUCUGCCCUGCGCUCUGGGAUAGCCACCGGAAACGGUGAUUAAUACCGGAUAUGACCGCUACACGCAUGUGUUGGUGGUGGAAAGUUUUUCGGCGCAGGAUGUGCUUGCGGCCUAUCAGCUUGUUGGUGAGGUAAUGGCUCACCAAGGCUUUGACGGGUAGCCGGCCUGAGAGGGUGACCGGUCACACUGGGACUGAGACACGGCCCAGACUCCUACGGGAGGCAGCAGUGGGGAAUAUUGGACAAUGGGCGGAAGCCUGAUCCAGCAACGCCGCGUGAGGGAUGACGGCCUUCGGGUUGUAGACCUCUUUCAGUACCGACGAAGCGAAAGUGACGGUAGGUACAGAAGAAGGACCGGCCAACUACGUGCCAGCCGCCGCAGUAACAC
rnacentral:rRNA from 1 species